GAUGAAGAACGCAGCGAAAUGCGAUAAGUAAUGUGAAUUGCAGAAUUCAGUGAAUCAUCGAAUCUUUGAACGCACAUUGCGCCCGCCAGUAUUCUGGCGGGCAUGCCUGUCUGAGCGUCAUUUCAACCCUCAUGCCCCUAGGGCGUGGUGUUGGGGAUCGGCCAAAGCCCGCGAGGGACGGCCGGCCCCUAAAUCUAGUGGCGGACCCGUCGUGGCCUCCUCUGCGAAGUAGUGAUAUUCCGCAUCGGAGAGCGAUGAGCCCCUGCCGUUAAACCCCCAACUUUCCAAGGUUGACCUCAGAUCAGGUAGGAAUACCCGCUGAACUUAAGCAUAUCAAUAAGCGGAGA
rnacentral:misc_RNA from 1 species